ACGGGAGGCAGCAGUGGGGAAUAUUGCACAAUGGGGGAAACCCUGAUGCAGCGAUGCCGCGUGGAGGAAGAAGGUUUUCGGAUUGUAAACUCCUUUUAUCAGGGACGAUAAUGACGGUACCUGAAGAAAAAGCUCCGGCUAACUACGUGCCAGCAGCCGCGGUAAUACGUAGGGAGCGAGCGUUGUCCGGAAUUACUGGGUGUAAAGGGAGCGUAGGCGGGACGGCAAGUCAGAUGUGAAAUAUACGGGCUCAACCUGUAGACUGCAUUUGAAACUGUUGUUCUUGAGUGAAGUAGAGGUAAGCGGAAUUCCUAGUGUAGCGGUGAAAUGCGUAGAUAUUAGGAGGAACAUCGGUGGCGAAGGCGGCUUACUGGGCUUUUACUGACGCUGAGGCUCGAAAGCGUGGGGAGCAAACAGGAUUAGAUACCCUGGUA
rnacentral:rRNA from 1 species